rnacentral:rRNA from 1 species
AUUGAACGCUGGCGGCAUGCCUUACACAUGCAAGUCGAACGGUAACAGGUCUUCGGAUGCUGACGAGUGGCGAACGGGUGAGUAAUACAUCGGAACGUGCCUAGUAGUGGGGGAUAACUACUCGAAAGAGUGGCUAAUACCGCAUGAGAUCUACGGAUGAAAGCAGGGGAUCGCAAGACCUUGUGCUACUAGAGCGGCCGAUGGCAGAUUAGGUAGUUGGUGGGAUAAAAGCUUACCAAGCCGACGAUCUGUAGCUGGUCUGAGAGGACGAUCGGCCACACUGGGACUGAGACACGGCCCAGACUCCUACGGGAGGCAGCUGGGGGGAAUUUUGGACAAUGGGCGCAAGCCUGAUCCAGCAAUGCCGCGUGCAGGAUGAAGGCCUUCGGGUUGUAAACUGCUUUUGUACGGAACGAAAAGCCCUGGGUUAAUACCCUGGGGUCAUGACGGUACCGUAAGAAUAAGCACCGGCUAACUACGUGCCAGCCGCCGCAGUAAAAC